GGAAAAGUCCUGGGGAGGAAGCUGCACUGGAGUAGACCUAGCACCUGUGUUAGGGUCCUGGUGUAAGGGGCUCAGGGAAGCAGAGCUGACUGAGGCUGGGAGGCUGCCAGGAGCUGGAGUGCCAGAGACCCCCCGGAGGGUGGCCUGAAGCCUGUCACCAAGGACUGAGAUCAGUCUCAGCUCACAGAAAUAUCUUUUUCUGAAAUCUUAGAGACCACUUCUCCCAGUAAAUUAUUCCCCUGCCCAUCAAGCUGACUGUAGCCUCUUUGUGCUGACUUCAACUGAGUGCGUCAGCGUCAUAGAUUCAGUAAUAUUGGAGUAAAGUCCAUAGAAAAUCCCCUUUAUAUAAUACAAGACAUAAUUCUUUGAAGAAUCAAGCCAAUAAACUUCUUGCUGCCGAAGGAAAGACACUUGACAGCUGACACUCCAUUCCCUUCUUUGCUGAGUUUGGGGAACACAGCUAUUAUAUUUAAGGUGAAAUUAUUAAUUUCCAGUCCAGUUUCCUUAUAUCAUCCAUGAAGACUGGCCUUAAGUUCUACUAAGAACCUACCAGAAACUGUUCUACCAAAUGAUGAUCAACCCACUAAAGGUUAAUAAGAAAUGUUAGAAGCUUGUUUUGAAGUGAAUUAUGUAAUCUAAACUGCUGUGGAGGCAUUGCCUAUCUGCUCAACAGUGUGUCAGUCCUGUUUCAUGAGGACACAGCUCAGCAUAAUGCUGUGUUAACAUGAAUACUGUCUUGUGGGUCACCAAGCACUAGAUUUCUACUAAGAAAAAAAAUAGUUGACGGCAAACACAGAGAGCUGAUAUGUUUUCAAGGAGGACUAGCCUGCUGCACUUGCGAGCGAUG